CCGUAUAACAAUACUCCGAGAACUGAAAGGCUUUUUGAAGUCUUCGGAUGGAUAGAAGAACCCCUGAUGCCGUCGAGCCAAGAAAAGUUUCUAAGUUUAGCUAAUGUUGCCCGUACCGUAAACCGACACAGGUGGGUGGGAUGAGUAUUCUAAGGCGCGUGGAAGAACUCUCUUUAAGGAACUCUGCAAAAUAGCACCGUAUCUUCGGUAUAAGGUGUGGUUCGCUUCGUAUUAGGAUUUACUCCGAAAGCGAAGAAACUUACAACAAAGAGUCCCUCCCGACUGUUUACCAAAAACACAGCACUCUGCUAACUCGUAAGAGGAUGUAUAGGGUGUGACGCCUGCCCGGUGCUCGAAGGUUAAUUGAUGGGGUUAGCAUUAGCGAAGCUCUUGAUCGAAGCCCGAGUAAACGGCGGCCGUAACUAUAACGGUCCUAAGGUAGCGAAAUUCCUUGUCGGUUAAAUACCGACCUGCAUGAAUGGCGUAACGAGAUGGGAGCUGUCUCAAAGAGGGAUCCAGUGAAAUUGUAGUGGAGGUGAAAAUUCCUCCUACCCGCGGCAAGACGGAAAGACCCCGUGGACCUUUACUACAGCUUGACACUGCUAUUUGGAUAAGAAUGUGCAGGAUAGGUGGGAGGCUUUGAGUAUAUGACGCCAGUUGUAUAUGAGCCAUUGUUGAGAUACCACUCUUUCUUAUUUGGGUAGCUAACCAGCUUGAGUUAUCCUCAAGUGGGACAAUGUCUGGUGGGUAGUUUGACUGGGGCGGUCGCCUCCCAAAUAAUAACGGAGGCUUACAAAGGUUGGCUCAGAACGGUUGGAAAUCGUUCGUAGAGUAUAAAGGUAUAAGCCAGCUUAACUGCAAGACAUACAAGUCAAGCAGAGACGAAAGUCGGUCUUAGUGAUCCGGUGGUUCUGUGUGGAAGGGCCAUCGCUCAAAGGAUAAAAGGUACCCCGGGGAUAACAGGCUGAUCUCCCCCAAGAGCUCACAUCGACGGGGAGGUUUGGCACCUCGAUGUCGGCUCAUCGCAUCCUGGGGCUGGAGCAGGUCCCAAGGGUAUGGCUGUUCGCCAUUUAAAGCGGUACGCGAGCUGGGUUCAGAACGUCGUGAGACAGUUCGGUCCCUAUCUGCCGUGGGCGUAAGAAGAUUGAAGAGAUUUGACCCUAGUACGAGAGGACCGGGUUGAACAAACCACUGGUGUAGCUGUUGUUCUGCCAAGAGCAUCGCAGCGUAGCUAAGUUUGGAAAGGAUAAACGCUGAAAGCAUCUAAGCGUGAAGCCAACUCUAAGAUGAAUCUUCUCUAAGCUCUCUAGAAGACUACUAGUUUGAUAGGCUGGGUGUGUAAUGGAUGAAAGUCCUUUAGCUGACCAGUACUAAUAGAGCGUUUGGCUUAUCUUUAAUAAAGCAU
rnacentral:rRNA from 1 species